UGGUUCAUAUGGCACUAACAUGUGGGACUCCGGGAUGUACUUUGGAGCUAGGCCAUGGAGAGACUUGUACACAAGCAGAGCUGCUUUAACAUAUUCUCUGAGCCACAGGAGCCAGUGCAGAGACCUGAGCACAGGAUUUACAUGCUUGUACUUCCUGGUUCUUGUCAGAACCCAAGUAGCAGAUUUCUCGAUGUACUGCAGCUGUCUUAAUGCUCAUUUGGAAAGCAUAUUUAACUGUAUUCUAUUUCUAUGUGUUUAGGAAUAAUAAAUCCACCGUUAAAGCCAGGGGACCACGGCCUCAAAGGCAAUGUACAGCAGCACUAAAAUCUCCUGAAACUCCUGAAACUCCUUCAGCGGAGAAAAUCAAAGAAACUCCUACAAAAUCUGUCAUGGAACAACCUCAGCUUCCAGUCGUCCAUCAAAGUGACACAAAGGAGAGCUCCGAUGAUGAACCAACCGAUGUGUCCGAGUAUUUCUUAAGUGAUGUUUUUACAGAAGUGGAUGACAAUUUCAGGCCGUAGUAAGUUAGAGACUGGAGCGAGAACUGCCU
ensembl:lncRNA